rfam:Lupinus angustifolius cultivar Tanjil contig_1834, whole genome shotgun sequence.
AGGUGUGAUUAUACCAGCACUAAUGCACUGGAUCCCAUCAGAACUCUUCAGUGAAGCGUACUUGGCCGAGUGUAUUACUAGGAUGAGUGACCUCCUGGGAAGUCCUCGUGUUGCACCUC